rnacentral:rRNA from 1 species
AGUGAACGCUGGCGGUAGGCCUAACACAUGCAAGUCGAACGGCAGCACAGCAGUAGCAAUACUGUGGGUGGCGAGUGGCGGACGGGUGAGGAAUACAUCGGAAUCUACCUUUUCGUGGGGGAUAACGUAGGGAAACUUACGCUAAUACCGCAUAAGACCUUCGGUGAAGUGGGGACGUCGGCCGUCACGCGGAGUAGAUG